rnacentral:rRNA from 1 species
GACGAACGCUGGCGGCGUGCCUAACACAUGCAAGUCGGAUGUGCCGCAAGGUGCAUGGCAGACGGGUGAGUAACGCGUGGGGAACCUACCUUUUCGUGGGGAAUAACGAUCCGAAAGGAUUGGUAAUACCGCAUGAGACCGAUGGCUGGGAUGCUGUCGGUGAAAGCCGGGGAUCGAAAGACCUGGCGCGAGAAGAGGGUCCUGCGUCUGAUUAGCUAGUUGGUGGGGUAAUGGCCUACCAAGGCGAAGAUCAGUAGCCGGCCUGAGAGGGUGGUCGGCCACACUGGAACUGGGACACGGUCCAGACUCCUACGGGAGGCAGCAGUGGGGAAUUUUGCGCAAUGGGCGAAAGCCUGACGCAGCAACGCCGCGUGGGUGAUGAAGGUCUUCGGAUUGUAAAACCCUGUCGUCGGGGACGAAGGUGGGGGCGUUAAUAGCGCCUUUGCUUGACGGUACCCGGAGAGGAAGCCCCGGCUAACUCUGUGCCAGCCGCCGCAGUAAGAC